CUCCAGACUCCUACGGGAGGCAGCAGUCGGGAAUAUUGCGCAAUGGAGGAAACUCUGACGCAGUGACGCCGCGUAUAGGAAGAAGGUUUUCGGAUUGUAAACUAUUGUCGUUAGGGAAGAUACAAGACAGUACCUAAGGAGGAAGCCACGGCUAACUACGUGCCAGCAGCCGCGGUAAUACGUAGGUGGCAAGCGUUGUCCGGAUUUACUGGGUGUAAAGGGCGUGCAGCCGGAGAGACAAGUCAGAUGUGAAAUCCGCAGGCUCAACCUGCGAACUGCAUUUGAAACUGUUUCCCUUGAGUAUCGGAGAGGUCAUCGGAAUUCCUAGUGUAGCGGUGAAAUGCGUAGAUAUUAGGAAGAACACCAGUGGCGAAGGCGGAUGACUGGACGACAACUGACGGUGAGGCGCGAAAGCGUGGGGAGCAAACAGGAUUAGAUACCCCAGUA
rnacentral:rRNA from 1 species